UCGUAGUUCCUGUCCGCGAGACCGAUCCUCGCCCAGGCCUAAUUUUGGGGGUUCUCUAUGUGCUCGGAUUCUGUAUGCGCUCGUGGUGCGCGCAAACUGUUGGCCUGUGGGGGAUGAAACUGGCCGCUAAUCCUCGCAUAUCCUAGUUUCUGCCUGUAGUGUUAUGGUCGCUGAGUUUCCUCGUUCCGUAGAUGAAAUGGAGGGGAGGGUUUUAGACUGAAAUGCUAUGCUGCUGAAUUGGAGUGCCCAUCUUGUGAUGUAUGUAUAAUGUUGCCCUGUUGUGUGUCUCUUGUGUGCUGCAUUGUUGCCCCAUUUGCUGUUCUCUUUUACUUAUCAGAAGAAUCAAAUCUGUGAGGAUAAAUAGUACUCCCUCCGUCCCAAAAUUCUUGUCUUAGAUUUGUCUACAUACGGAUGUAUCGAUGUAUCUAUUCAAAUUUUAGUGUUAGAUACAUCCGUUUUGGGAAUAUUCUAGUUUGGGAAUUUUAGUGUCUACCCCAGGCCUCGAAUUUUGGGAAUCUCUCUAUGCGCUUGUGGUGCCCGCAAGAUGUUGGCCUGUGGGGGAUGAAACUGAUCACUAAUCCUCACAUAUCCUAGUUUCUGCAUGUAGUGUUACGGCCACCGAGUUUCGUCUUGUUCAGUAGAUGAAAUGGAGGGGAGGGUUUUAGACUGAAAUGCUAUGCUGCUGCCCUGCUGAAAUGGAGUGCCCAUGUUGUUAUAUAUGUAUAAAUGUUGCCCCGUUGUGUGCUGUUUUCUUUUUCUUAUCAGAGGAAUGAAAUCUGUCAGGAUAAAUACUACUGAACCACCCCCAGAAUUAAGCUAUUGAUCUGGGAAUGGAACUGGAUUAAUUCCCAGCUAGAUGCUAUGCUGGUGCCUUGAAAUGGAGAGCCAAUGCUUGCAAUUUGG
rnacentral:lncRNA from 1 species